rnacentral:rRNA from 1 species
GACGAACGCUGGCGGCGUGCCUAACACAUGCAAGUCGAACGGACAGGCCCUGCUUUUGUGGGGUGCUCGAGUGGCGAACGGGUGAGUAACACGUGAGUAACCUCCCCUUGACUUUGGGAUAACUUCAGGAAACUGGGGCUAAUACCGGAUAGGAGCUCCUGCUCCACGGUGGUGGUUGGAAAGUUUCGGCUGUUGUGGAUGGACUCGCGGCUUAUCCGCUUGUUGGUGGGGUAGUGGCAUACCAAGGGUUCGACGGGUAGCCGGCCUGAGAGGGUGAACGGGCACAUUGGUACUGAGGGACGGAGCAGAAUCCUACGGGACGCAGCAGUGGAGAAUAUUGCAGAGUGGGGGGGAGCCUGAGACAGCGACGCCGCGUGCGGGAUGACGGGCUACGAGGUGUAAACCACUGUCUCCUGUGACGUGGCGGGAGUGACGGUAAUGAGUAAGAAAGCAACGGCUAACUACGUG